rnacentral:tRNA from 1 species
GCACCCGUAGCUCAGCUGGAUAGAGCGUUUGAUUGCGGUUCAAGAGGCCGGAGGUUCGAAUCCUCUCGGGUGUA